rnacentral:lncRNA from 1 species
CUUUGUUUUCUGCGUAACUAUGCAACACACGUAAUGAUCUUUAGUUGUAUUUUAAAAUAUCUUUUACAUACUAUAAAUUAUACGUAGGGUAUAUGGUCUGUGUUAUCAGAAUGUGUUUUAGAAGACCACCCAAUGAGUUAGAUGAGUCCGACUAAAAUUUAUUGUUAUCUCAUAUCCAUUAAAUCCAUUUAUAAAGUUAAUUUAUAUAGCCAAAGCAAAAAAAAAAAGUUGAUCACACAUUUCUUCCAUCAUCAUAUAUUAUUUCUGUUCUCCGUGUUAGAAUAACACCUGAAUAUGUUACGAUUAAUUCCCAUAAAAAACUAGAUAAGUCUGCAGUGUCAUUUGUUUCGUGUCUAUUUCGUUUUGUGUAUGCUAAUUGCGUCAUAAUUCAAUUAGCAUAGUUACGUGUGUGUAUAUAUUACACCCACCUAAAGUUAUAUAGGUAAAAUACGUAAAGAUAACUGUUAUUAGUGUAUAUGUGGUGUAAGACACUGAUGUCUGGGCUACGAUCCAGGCAAUUCGACUUCAAUCAAUAUUUGAGGCGCCAGACUAACUUUACGUUCGGUGUUCCCUGGAAAACGAAUGGCCGUCUGCCUAAACAAUAUGGGAAAUUUUUCUCGUGUCGGAACAGAAAUACUGCAAAGUGUCUAAUGAAAGGAACAAUAUGGCCAACUACCGGAUAUGAAGUAGACACGGGACCUAUCGGAAUUGAGAUCCCUUAAUCGAAAUGGCAAUCGUUACCCAAUUAUGAACAUGGUAACUACGAUAAUAUCCAUUAGAGGAAUGAGGAAUAUCCUUUGGGAGUAAGAAAAUAGCCUUGUUUACCAGGAAUAUUCUUAGUCUGGAAUUUUUACGAAUUAAGACGUGUACUUAUUGUAUUUAUAAAUCCCGACGUAGGUAGUAAGUGUGACGUCGUCCUUACAGCACACUACAUACUGUAAAUUUAUCCUUCUUCAAACACUGAAAAAUAUCGAUAUUAAUAAACUUAAUUAAAUAAUUCUCUAACUAUAAUUAAGGGACAUAACCAUUUUUAGGGGUUCAUAAAGACCUUCCGGCUAUCUAGAAUUAAUUCUCCAGAGGUCAUUGGGGUGACCUCCAUUGGUAUUAUUAAUUAAUAAAAGGUCCAUUAAGCAGGAAGUAACAUUAAUUGAUCUCUAAUCUGAUCAAAUAUUGAACUUUGGAG